rnacentral:rRNA from 1 species
AACGAACGCUGGCGGCGUGCCUAAGACAUGCAAGUCGUGCGAGAAAGGGGCUCGGUCCCGAGUACAGCGGCGCACGGGUGAGUAACGCGUGGGUAACCUACCUCGAAGUCUGGAAUAACCCGGGGAAACCUGAGCUAAUACCGGAUGAGCCUACGAGGCCUUCGGGUCAUGUGGGAAAAGAUGGCCUCUGCUUGCAAGCUAUCGCUACGAGAUGAGCCCGCGUCCCAUUAGCUAGUUGGUGAGGUAACGGCUCACCAAGGCGACGAUGGGUAGCUGGUCUGAGAGGACGAUCAGCCACACUGGAACUGAGACACGGUCCAGACUCCUACGGGAGGCAGCAGUCGGGAAUAUUGGGCAAUGGGCGCAAGCCUGACCCAGCGACGCCGCGUGAGGGAUUGAAGGCCUUCGGGUCGUAAACCUCUGUCGGGAGGGAAGAAUGGCGGUGAGGCGAACAGUUUCGCUGUCUGACGGUACCUCCAAAGGAAGCGCCGGCUAACUCCGUGCCAGCAGCUGC